CGGAGGGCUAGCGUUGUUCGGAAUUACUGGGCGUAAAGCGCACGUAGGCGGAUUGGAAGUUGGGUGGAAUCCCGGGCUCAACCCGGAACUGCCUUCAAACUCCCAGUCUGGAGGUCGAGAGAGGUGAGUGGAAUUCCGAGUGUAGAGGUGAAAUUCGUAGAUAUUCGGAGGAACACCAGUGGCGAAGGCGGCUCACUGGCUCGAACCUGACGCUGAGGUGCGAAAGCGUGGGGAGCAAACAGGAUU
rnacentral:rRNA from 1 species